ACGUAGGGGGCGAGCGUUAUCCGGAAUUAUUGGGCGUAAAGAGUGCGUAGGUGGUUCUUUAAGCGUGAGGUGAAAGGCAAUAGCUCAACUAUUGUAAGCCUUGCGAACUGGGGGACUUGAGUGCAGGAGAGGAAAGCGGAAUUCCUAGUGUGGCGGUGAAAUGCGUAGAUAGUAGGAGGAGCUCCAGGGGCGAAGGCAGCUUUUUGGGCUGUAACUAUCACUGAUGCAGUAAAGCGUGUGGAGCAAGCAG
rnacentral:rRNA from 1 species